AAUUGUCGGCUGCAAGCUCCAUACAUAAUGGCGAUGGCACCGCGGCGAAGAUUAUCUCAAUUAUAAUAGUUUAGGUUCACGAUGGAUAGGACAUCGGAUUCACUACGUUUAGGUUAAAAGAGAAAAAUAUCUCCGCUACCAUCGCCAAAGAAAAUAGUGAUGUCUAUCUACGUUUAUCAUCGAAGACUUUUCCAGUAGUUUGACAUGGCGAUUGUCGAUAAAGAAGAACCAUCCCUGACGAUGGUAUCAAACUUUCUCCGGUUUUUUGGUUCAUGUUGGUAUAGUUAUGUCUCUCAUACAGAGGAAAACUUGGUUUUGUCUCUGAAUUUCAGCAAGAACAGAAACGAGAUCGGAUUUAAGGAGAUGAGAAACGUUAAAAUCAAUGAAUCGAUCAUGUCAGACUAAGUUGGUUUGGAGACGCUUGAGCUCUUUGGCAGCGAUUAGACCUUCUUUUCUCAUUUCUUUCUUCCGUCUCCAUAUCGAUAGGCUUGGGCUUAAAGCAGAUCUUGAUUGGUACGUAUGCGUCGAAACAACACUAAUUUAUCUGUUUCUUGAACCAAUUUGGCUAAGAAGAUAAAGAACGCAGCUUUGAUGAAUCAAAUAGUAGUGUCUUCGAAGUUACACAUAUUUCUCUCAAGAUAUUUGUUUGCACUUACAAUAAAGUGGGUUAAAUUUUCAUAGGUUGUAGAAGAAGGAAGCAACGGGAAACCCAAAAAAAAGCUUCUUUGAUUUCCUCUUAUAUUGGUUGCUUCUUUCCGGUGGUUUUGUCUAUGGACAUUAGUUUUUCUGUUUUCUUAGGUUUGUGUCGAUCUCAAAAUGCAGGAUUGAUAAACCUGAGUGUUCCUGUUUUUAAUUAAAAAGGUAUAUGUUUUUGCAAAUCUCUUUAUUAGUGGAGUCGAGACAUGUCAUGUGAUAGUAUUAAUUAGUUAGAUGUAUCUUAUAAUUGCUUAGAGUAAGCUUAUUUUUUUUUGAGCUUUUAGGUAUGAAUAAAUUGUAGGCUGAAGUUCUGCUAGGAACUCAUUCAACGUGUAUGUCAAUUAUGGUCAAUUCCGUAAGGAUUCGAAAAACGUAUGUUUUUACCAUCCAAUGAUGUUGCUGUAUUUAGUUUACAAUCUUCCAAACAGACUUAAUCAUGGCUUCUUUUGAGAAUAUAAUCUGUGAAGCUUGGACACAUGAUCACAUCAACACAUGGUCAGAGAGUUCAAUCAAGUAGAUGAGCCCAUUCCUCUCAUACGAAGAUGCCUAGGCGAUGAUUGUUGUUCUUCUCUGGGAUGUAAAUGAUAUAGAACUAUUGUAAUGGAAUGGAUUUCAUCAAUCAUCAUUGUUUAAAAAUAUUUGGGUCUUUGUUACCUUCGUUAUGAGAGUCUGCUUUUGUUAAUCGUUGUUAUGUUAUAAUUGAAAACUUUUGAUUUUUCAUAUUUCUAAUACAUGUGUAUGUAGAGAAUAUCAGUCCAUAUCAGCAAGAUAGGAAUUCUCUGGAAAUGAAGUCGUAAGGUGGAUAGAAAAAUAAAGUCCAUAAUCUUAUGUAUUACAAAGGGAAAUUUUGCUUUCUUAUCUUUGGAGAAAUAGAGGUAUGAGAUUGAACAGUGUACUCAUCAAAAUUUUUAUUUCAUUGGCUUUGACUUCAGUUUGUAAUCACGUUAAUAAACAUAGGGAUUCAAAAUUAUGUUUCUUAUAUUACAAGGAAUCGUUUGAAUAAUGGAAAAUCAAGAACUCGAUCAUUAGUAUGUCAUUUGAAUGAUAAGCGAUUAUGAAGACUUUAUGUUUUAUUUCCUUUCAUAAUUAACAGUAGCAUCGAAUUCGCUAAGCUUCUAAAUUAGAAGUUUUCAUAUUGUUUAGGUAGUUGUCAGCUGUGAGUUAUAGGUUUAAGUGGUGCCAACAUGCAGGUCUUGUGAUCCUUGAAGCUAACUUGGUGGAUAUGAGGCCAUGAGGGAGCUUUGUAAAUAAAGCAAUAUGCGAGUUGAGGUCAAGGGUCAAGUUAAAGUUUAUAGGGUUAGAGCAUAGUGGUGUAUGAUGCUUAUGUAUUGGAAGUAAGUGACAUGACCGAGUUGUAAAUACCAUGUGAUUUGAAUUCGUGUUCUAUUCCCUCACUGAAUAUGAAGGGCAUUCUUAUGUGUAUGUCAAGCAAGUAAGGGUAAAACUACCAAGAAAGACAUAUGAGCAAAAUGUGUCACUUCAGAUUUAUGAUGGAUGUAGGGGUGGAUAAGGUGAAGAGUUAAAUAUUAGUGUUUUAAAGUUUUUACCUAGAUGGAGCUUUAGGCAUGGUUGAGGACACAGACCUAGAUGGAUCUUUAAUAAACUUUAAUUCUCUUUAGUUUUUGCUUGAUUGGUUUCAUUUGCCCAGUUUACGAAGGAUUAUCCUUCUUUGAUGAUCCUCUAUUUCGUUGUAAAUUUCUCAUUCUCAAUAUCUAUAUCAAUUUUCUUGUGAAAACUUAUUUGGAUUAGCUUUUCAUUAAUUAAAAACUACCCUUAAUGAAUCGAUAUAAUGCAAUUAAGGAGUCUACUUGUGCAAGUAUUAUAAUUUUGUUAGGUUCAGAAUUACGGUGAUGAUAAGUUUGGUUAUAAAAGUAUAAUUUUUGAUGGUCACGAUUUGGUGAAUAUUGUAGUUGUCAAAGCUUCAAAUGUAUACAGAGGAGAUGAGAGACAAGAGGAAAAUCAUAAGGGAGAAGAUUCAUAAGGUCAACCACUUUCACAAGAAGACAUGUACCAAUGUGUUAGUCUUAUAGUGAAGAGUGUCAUGUUUUUAAUUUAUUAUUAAGUAAUUCAUGACUGUAAUUCUUUCCAUUGAAUGAGUUCGACAUGUUUACUACGACAACCAAUUUAUGACCUUACGAUGGAAGAACAGAUCAACCAAAGACGCCACAAUCAACCACAUGUAACCACCAUGAUCGAUAUUACUAUAAACUUAAUGAAAUUAAUAUCGGGAGUGUUGUCAUUCACAACAAACUAAGUCCUCAAUGUAUUGUCAUUCACAAUGACACGGUCUUUGGACGAGUGCAUGUUAAAGAUUUCGAUUUUUAUUUUAUUUUUUUUGUUUUCGAGAUGUUUUUUGUCUUUACCUGUUUGAACUGUAUAUUUUCUAUAGCACGUAUGCCAACUGGAUAAUGUUUCACGAUAUAUAUCACCCUUUGCUUUGGUCAUUUACCUCAUAAAACAUGUAAACGAGCUAACGCUCAAACGAACAAAUUUAUAAAUACAUCAACGUAUUCAAAAAAAAAAAUGCCGCCUUUGACGAGGGUCGACGAUCUUACCCCUUAUGAUAGAAAUCGAGUCAUUUGUGUCAAGGUUUUGUUUUUUUGGUUUGAGAAUUUUGGGAGGCCCGACCAGAAGUUAGAGAUGAUUCUUGCGGAUUUAGAGGAGACUAAGAUUGAAGCUACUAUUACCGGUGGUCCGUUUGAUCAUGAUAAUAUAACUGGCUUGAGGGAGGACACAUGGUACUUUCUAUCUAAUUUUUUGGUUCUGUACUUGCCGGAGUUGAUGAGUAACACGUCCAACAUGUUUCGUAUAUGGUUCUAUCG